rnacentral:tRNA from 2 species
AUCCUGGUAGCUUACACACCAAAGCGUUAGACUUGUAAACUAAAAACGGAGCCCUCCCCAAGAUC